rnacentral:rRNA from 1 species
AAAUUGAAGAGUUUGAUCAUGGCUCAGAUUGAACGCUGGCGGCAGGCCUAACACAUGCAAGUCGAACGGUAACAGGAAGCAGCUUGCUGUUUCGCUGACGAGUGGCGGACGGGUGAGUAAUGUCUGGGAAACUGCCUGAUGGAGGGGGAUAACUACUGGAAACGGUAGCUAAUACCGCAUAACGUCGCAAGACCAAAGAGGGGGACCUUCGGGCCUCUUGCCAUCGGAUGUGCCCAGAUGGGAUUAGCUAGUAGGUGGGGUAACGG